rnacentral:snRNA from 1 species
AUCGCUUCUCGGCCUUUUGGCUAAGAUCAUGUGUAAUAUCUGUUCUUUUCAGCUUAAUAUCUGAAACGCUGCUCAUUGAGUAGCUUCGAAUAUUAACUGAUUUUUUAACUUAGGCUAUGGAACAGGAGCUUGCUCCGUCCUGGCCACGGGUUGACCUGGUAUUGAAGUACAUUCAGGACCAGCCCAUCCUCU